rnacentral:rRNA from 1 species
GCAAGUCGAACGGAGUUUUAAACGGAAGUUUACGGAUGGAAGUUUAGAAACGUUAGUGGCGGACGGGUGGAGUAACGGCGUGGGUAACCUGCCUCAUACAGGGGGAUAACAGUUAGAAAUGACUGCUGACACCGCAUAAUAUAGCGAAACCGCAUGAUUUUGUUAUCAAAUAUUUAUAGGUAUGAGAUGGGCCCGCGUCUGAUUAGCUAGUUGGUGGGGUAAAAGCCUACCAAGGCGACGAUCAGUAGCCGGCUUGAGAGAGUGACCGGCCACAUUGGGACUGAGACACGGCCCAAACUCCUACGGGAGGCAGCAGUGGGGAAUAUUGGACAAUGGGGGAAACCCUGAUCCAGCGAACCGCCGCGUGAGUGAAGAAGUAUUUCGGUAUGUAAAGCUCUAUCAGCAGGGAAGAUAAUGACAGUACCUGACUAAGAAGCCCCGGCUAACUACGUGCCAGCCGCUGC